rnacentral:tRNA from 1 species
CAAAUUAGAGCUUGGUAUAAGCAUUUUAUUUACAUUAAAAGGUUAAUUGUGAAAUUCAAUUUAAUUUGA